rnacentral:rRNA from 1 species
UGGGGAAUCUUGGACAAUGGGCGCAAGCCUGAUCCAGCCAUGCCGCGUGGAUGAUGAAGGCCUUAGGGUUGUAAAAUCCUUUCGCCGAGGACGAUAAUGACGGUACUCGGAGAAGAAGCUCCGGCUAACUUCGUGCCAGCAGCCGCGGUAAUACGUAGGGUGCAAGCGUUAAUCGGAAUUACUGGGCGUAAAGCGUGCGCAGGCGGUUGUGUAAGUCAGAUGUGAAAUCCCCGGGCUCAACCUGGGAAUUGCAUUUGGAACUGUCAGACUAGAGUAUAGCAGAGGGGGGUAGAAUUCCACGUGUAGCAGUGAAAUGCGUAGAGAUGUGGAGGAAUACCAAUGGCGAAGGCAGCCCCCUGGGUUAAUACUGACGCUCAUGCACGAAAGCGUGGGGAGCAAACAGGAUUAGAUACCCAAGUAGUCCCUGAGCGGGCUGGCAAGGCGCAU